rnacentral:rRNA from 1 species
AUUGAACGCUGGCGGCAGGCUUAACACAUGCAAGUCGAGCGGGGUGAUGGUGCUUGCACUAUCACUUAGCGGCGGACGGGUGAGUAAUGCUUAGGAAUCUGCCUAUUAGUGGGGGACAACAUCUCGAAAGGGAUGCUAAUACCGCAUACGUCCUACGGGAGAAAGCAGGGGAUCACUUGUGACCUUGCGCUAAUAGAUGAGCCUAAGUCGGAUUAGCUAGUUGGUGGGGUAAAGGCCUACCAAGGCGACGAUCUGUAGCGGGUCUGAGAGGAUGAUCCGCCACACUGGGACGGGGACACGGCCCAGACUCCUACGGGAGGCAGCAGUGGGGAAUAUUGGAAAAUGGGGGGAACCCUGAUCCAGCCAUGCCGCGUGUGUGAAGAAGGCCUUAUGGUUGUAAAGCACUUUAAGCGAGGAGGAGGCUCUUUUGGUUAAUACCCAAGAUGAGUGGACGUUACUCGCAGAAUAAGCACCGGCUAACUCUGUGCCAGCAGCCGCAGUAA